AUGGCCACAGCCCAACCAAACACGAGAAACUCUCCCACUUGCCAUCUUCUGCAGUUGUCACGUUGGGUUAUGAAGAGGAAAUAUGAAUUUUCCAGCUCCCUAGACCCUGCUGGGAAGACUUGUAGCAUCAUCCUGGAGGAAAUCCUGCUUAUCAUGUCAGCUGCCAGUCAUCAAGGUCCAAUUCUGCCCCUGUUGUCUCUUGGGAUCCAGUCCCAUGUUGCUUCAACCCAAAUUUCUCCUGCUGCAACACCUCGUGGCACGAUCAGCUAUUCCCCCUCUGCUGCCACAGCCUGCUCGGGGAGCAGCAGCAGGAAGGUUUCUUCUGUGUCUCGUCAUGACGUUGUGAUGCCUACCCUGGGGCUUUUGUGCACAGGGCUCAAGCCUGAACAACAAGCACCGGUGUUAUGCGGCACUUUUCCUCUUGUGGCUCCAGGGAGAGAGAAAAUGCAAGGAAAAAAAAAUAAUAACAAAAAACACAGCUGUGUAGCAAGUCUUUAAGCUUGUCUGGGGUUGGCACAACGCGGUGCUGGCACAAAGGAGACCUGCUGUCCUUUUGUCUUGGUUAUUGUUUAAUCUUCUGGUCUGCUGGUGGGAAGAGCAUCACCG
rnacentral:lncRNA from 1 species